UUUUUAUUUACCAAAUUAGGGCCCCAGGAGGGUAUAUCAUACAGACAAUAUUAUUAUAAACAAUAACAUAUGCUAUACAUAAACAAUAAAAGAUAUGUAACAAGUGUUAUAAAAAUAAUAAAAUAAAAUAAUAUACCACAAAAAAUACACUCAACAAAAUAGUAGCAAUGUAUUAUUAUUCAAUGAAUACUAUGUUGACAUUGACUCAAGUGCACCCGGUAAGUGUAAUUUCACUUUGAAAAGACAAACAUGAGGCAUUAGUAGUUUGUGCGGAGAAAUCUCAAUAUAAAAAAUAAAAAAAAAAAAAAAAAAAAAAAUAAAUAAAA
rnacentral:lncRNA from 1 species